AGGAAGAAGAAGAAGAGGAGGAGGAGGAGGGAUCCGCCAUGCUUUAGGAGAGGUGAGGCAUGCUGGGAGAGUGUGCAGAACAGAGAGGCAUGGCCGCCAUGUGAAGGGGGCCAGGAGAGGUGGCUCAGAUGGCUGCUCAACUGUGUUGGGAACAACCAAGAUGGAACACAGAAUUGGUGCAACAUGGCCAGCCACUCAUGUUUCUGCCACCAAGUCUUCCCUGCUGGGAUUGACUGCACCUUAAACUGGGUACAGGAGUCUCUCCGUGAUGUAAUUAAGUUAAAGAUCUUGAGAUGAAAUCAUCUGGAUCAAGGGAGGGUCCUGAGGUGAAUGGCAGGUGGCUUUGUGACGAGACUUGGCACACUCCUGAGAAAGCCAUGUCAAAGUUGCCGUAGAGGUGGAGCACCUUGCUGCAAGCCAAGGGACGACCGACCGCCACCGCCAGCAGGAAAGAGGAAGAAGCUGGAAGGAGCCUCACUGGAGCCUUGGGACUGAGUUGGGAAUCAAGCUGACCCUUGGUUCCGGCCAGGAGGGGCUAAGUUUCGGCUGCAUUAAGCCACCAGCUUUGUGCUCAUUUGUUAUGGUUACCACAGCAGGCCCGUCCACCCUGAGGGCAGGAAGUAACAGGAGGAGUUCACAGCAGGCGAAUGCCGGGAUCUCCCUCCAGUUCUCUCCUGGAGGUGAGAUGGACAGAGACACUGAAGCACAAGGACCAAAAGCUGCUGCAGCUUCAGGGUGGUCAUUGUCAUAAGAAGCAGUCACUUUGUAAAGGGGACCAACAUCAGUGAGAAUGUUCUAGAUCUUGCACAGAAGAAUGAAACAAAAGGCUUCCCAGAUUCUUCAUGGAUUUCAGUCUUGAUAAACCUAAACACCCACACUGCGUAGACAACAGUGAAGUGUGAUGUUCACACCAAAGAACCACUUUAGAUGCAUUUUAAUGUCUCCUAUGAGAUUACAUCACAUUUUAUUAAAUCA